rnacentral:rRNA from 1 species
AGCCUGAACGCUGGCGGCGUGGCUAAGACAUGCAAGUCGUACGGGUGCAGCAAUGCAUCAGUGGCGGACGGGUGAGUAAAGUAUCGCUAACGUGCCCCUAUGUUCGGGAUAGCCGAGGGAAACUUCGGGUAAUACCGGGAGACAUCACCGCGAGGCAUCUCGUGGUGCUCAAAGGCGUAAGCCGCAAAAGGGGAGCGGGCGAUAUCGUAUCAGCUAGUUGGCGGGGUAACGGCCCACCAAGGCGACGACGCGUAGCCGGACUGAGAGGUUGGCCGGCCACAUUGGGACUGAGACACUGCCCAGACUCCUACGGGGGGCUGCAGUAACGAAUCUUCCGCAAUGCACGCAAGUGUGACGGAGCGACGCCGCGUGUGGGACGAAGCCCUUCGGGGUGUAAACCACUGUCAGGGAUAGGAAGAACUGAUCCAUCCCAGAGGAAGGCACGGCUAACUCUGCGCCAGCAGCCGCGGUAA